UGUUACAGUUCUACACAAGUGGAAACCCCAAGCUAAAUUAUAGAGAACAAAAAUAGCUCACAGUCAGAGAUCAGAUUGAAUGAGGACCGGUGCUCUAAUUGAUUCUUUUGCAAGGAGGGGUUUCAGUGUUCAAACAUAAUGCAUUUCCAUUUUCAGUUUGACCAAACUUGUAUGCGGAGUAAAAGGAGAAGAGCUCGAGGCAGAGAUGGCGGAGCUCGGGCGAGCUCGAGACUAUGGAUCCAGGGCUUGAGUGCUCACGGGAUGGAGGUGCUCAGGAUGGAGGCAGGGGAGGGCGCCCUGCGGGAAGUGAUUUAUGUGCUCCUUGAUCAGGUUUUUUAUAACUGAUGGCAUCUUACAUUGUUGUCUUUUACCGAUUAACUGGUUAAAAUGGUCUUAGAUUUCUGCUUUCUAUUUGCGCCAGUUUCUUUUUACAAGAGAUGAGAUCUUACACAAUAUAUUUUUGCCUUGGUUGAUCUAAUUAAACUUUUCCUUCAGCACGUGCAUAUGAUGUUAAUAUAAAGCUAUUUGGAAGUACAUAUCCAUGGGCGAAAAAAUAUUAUCAUGUAUUUUGUCUGUCAUUUUGCUUGUGUUGAUGUAGUUUAUUGAGCUUUUUCACACGUCAUGAUAUUAUGCCUUAAUUUCUACUAGGCUGCUUUUACAUUUAAAAUUCAUUGUACAAACAUUAUUUACCUAAUUUAUGGAAACAAUAAAUUUGUAGCUCAGGUCACCUAGGAGAUAAUGUAAACCAAGUCGCUCACCGGUUUAAGAUGG